CUUAAAAAAAAAUGGCAGUUGAGAAAAGAGAAAAAAAAUUCUGAUAAGAUAUAGCCUUGCCUCUAACCUCUAAUAUCUGUUUUCUGUAUGAUAGAAAGAAGCAUAUACAAAGAAACUGAAAAAUUCUACUAAUGACCCAAUUUGGAGAGAAAUGGCCUUUUGAAGUGAGUAGGCAACCUGGUGGAAAGAACAUGAAAUUUCUUAUUGUAUGAAUAAUCUACAUAAACUUCCCCUUUUCCCUGUGGAAGAAGGAUGGAGCUGUCCUGGUGAGAUCUCUACAGGUCCAAGGAUGAAGUACAUUAUCCAACACUGAUGGAAAAUGUUUUGAAAUUCAUGGACAGAUACUUCUAAUGAACAACAUCCAAGGGGUGCGUGCUACAGAGACCUUAACAUACUGAAUUUUAGGAGAGAAGGUAUUUUCCUUUCAAAAUUGUCAAAGAAAAAAAAAUUGUCAAAGAGAUUUUGAAAGACUGAGAUACAUUGAGAGAGUCGCCUUUAUUUAAUUAGGAUUUUUCUUGCUUUGGACCCUCUGUCUUCUAAAAUAUAAACUAAAUUCUGGUCCAUAUAGCUUAUUCCUUAUCUUUUUAUUCCAUUAGAGUUUGAGCAGCCCAACCAUGAUAGGCUGGAGCUAAAUCAAUACAAGCAUCUACCUUGCCUACAUUGUGCUUGUCAGUCUAUCUUUCGAU
rnacentral:lncRNA from 12 species